rnacentral:rRNA from 1 species
AUUGAACGCUGGCGGCAGGCCUAACACAUGCAAGUCGAGCGGAGCGGCGGACGGGUGAGUAAUGCCUAGGUAUCUGCCUGGUAGUGGGGGAUAACGUCCGGAAACGGGCCCUAAUACCGCAUCCUAUCAGAUGAGCCUAGGUCGGAUUAGCUAGUUGGUGGGGUAAAGGCCUACCAAGGCGACGAUCCGUAACUGGUCUGAGAGGAUGAUCAGUCACACUGGAACUGAGACACGGGCCAGACUCCUACGGUACUCAGCGGGGGGGAAUAUUGCACAAUGGGCGCAAGCCUGAUGCAGCCAUGCAGCGUGUAUGAAGAAGGCAUUCGGGUUGUAAAGUACUUUCAGCGGGGAGGCGGUACCCGCAGAAGAAGCACCGGCUAACUCCGUGCCAGCAGCCGCGGUAAUUC